GUAGUCAUAUGCUUGUCUCAAAGAUUAAGCCAUGCAUGUUAAGAUAAGCAUUAUACCGCGAAACUGCAAUGGCUCAUUAUAUAAGUUAUCGUUUAUUUGAUAAUACUUUACUACUUGGAUAACCGUGGUAAUUCUAGAGCUAAUACAUGCUGAAAAUCCCGACUUCGGAAGGGAUGUAUUUAUUAGAUUAAAAACCAAUGCCCCUCGGGGCUCUCUGGUGAAUCAUGAUAACUAGUCGAAUCGACAGGCCUUGUGCCGGCGAUGGCUCAUUCAAAUUUCUUCCCUAUCAACUUUCGAUGUUUGGGUAUUGGCCAAACAUGGUGGCAACGGGUAACGGGGAAUGGGGCGGGGGCGGCGGGCCGGGCGCGGGGCGCGGCGGGCGACC
rnacentral:rRNA from 1 species